CCCAGUUAAACCUCGUAUCAUCGUCUUCUCUUCCUACUCUACCUCUCUGCCCUAAACUUCACCUAACUGACUACGGCCAACGCCGCGCCGCCUCCUCUAAAAAGGGGAGAGGGAACCUGAAAACAAUCUAUCGAAAAUGUCUGCUAAGUGGCGGGCAUUGCAGCACCGCCACCGCUACACAUACAGCGCGGUCAUAUUCCCAUCCUCUUUUACAGACUCUUUAUCUCA
rnacentral:misc_RNA from 1 species